UGACAUGGAUCACAAAAAAUCAAUGACUUUUCCUCUAUCAAAUACAAAUUAAUAUCUCCCCUUCCACUUGUCAUACAAUGAUAAAUUUAGUAUGAUUGGAUAUAUUUUGUUUUUUUUCAAGCCCUUUUCAACCAUGUAGGUUUUAUUAGUAUGUUGUGAGUUUGAAUUUUUUAUCGAUUCAUUCCUUCCUUGCCAAACAAGCGGAAUAAACUAAUUAAGACUGUGAUGAGUGCACUUAAUCAUCAACAACUGAUUGACACCACUUAAAGCAGUGAAGUCUCUAGUGUGCAAUCUGGAGGCUCUCCUGCAAGAUGAUGGCAGCAGUUGUGAUGCGAUUUGUGUGGAAAGAAAUUCUUUGUUUAUUACGUACAAUAAAUGAACUAAGUUGAGAGACAAUGCACAUUUUUCUUUCAUCACAGGUGGAACAGUUUGUCUGGAAAUGAGAUAGUUUAAGGUGCCUUAUAUGUGAAGUGCAACUUGGGACAAGAAUAGUUGUUUAAGUAAGAAUUCAAGCAAGCAUCCAUUGACGUCUUGUGUGCAACACAGGUAGGCUAACACUCUAAUCUCUAGACUGCAACAAAGAACACAUCAAGGAUGAACUGUUGAAGAGACUGAACACCAUCUCUGGUGUAUUUUCAUCAGACACAUGCUGAUUUAAAUUCCUUGACUGCUUAGUCAUUCUUUUGCCUGUUUAUAAGUGUGUAUAUUCAAUGUAUGGGAAAUAUUUCCACAUCUUUUCUUUAAUUUAUAAUUUUUAAGGUUGAAACUUUCAUAUUUUAAAUUGUAUGCCAUAUUUAUUGCAAAGCUAGAAAAUGUUGUAAAAAAAAAAGACUUUCUCAAUUGCUAGAUAGUUUUAGAUAUAGUGUACUCUUUCUUUUUUGCAUAUUUGGUUUCAUCUAUGUAGCUGACAUAAAUUUGAUAUAUAUAAUGGCAUCUUACACAUUCUUUAAGCCAAACAAUAAAACAUGAAAAAAAAAAUUGAAGAAGUGCUAAGAAUGAAGAUUAACGAACAGGAUAAAUGCACAGUAACUCGAGAUGAAAACAUAAUUACAAUCUUUAAUGCAGAAUGGGCCACAUUCGAGUCAGUCACUACAACGAUGUUAUUCCUUUAAGAGCCUAGCAAUAACUGAUCUAAAAGUCUACACUAAUAUCUAACCAUAAAGAUGCCACUGGUUCUUUCGUAGUUCACACUUCAUUGGCCAUAGUUCACAGUUCUUUCACUAGUUCACAAUUCUUUCAGUUCUUCAUAGCUCAUGAUAAAGUUCAUUUCUUCUUCAUGGCACAGGUUCAUAAAGUUCAUAACACGACAUCAUAGAGUUCAUAACACGUCAACAUCUCCAGGACAAGUAUUCCUGAUAAAAUAAACAUAUUACAUUUUCAUUUAUAAUAACUGUCAAUACUUUAAUAACAAUACAUUUAGGCACCCUAUACGCGUCCUUGUUCAUUUCUCUUUCACUCUUUGUCAAAGAUAAAUGAUGAUACACAAUAAAAUAUAUAUAUACUUACUUAUAUAUGCUUAAAUUGUGCCAUGUUAAUAAUAAUGAAAAACAAAACAGUAAUGUAUCUCUAUAUACAUCAUAUUUACAAGUGUCAGUAUAAACAACAUAUGAACUAUAUAACAUUAUAUAUAUAAUAUUUCUUUGUACUACCAAAAUUGCUUUUUUUCAACUUUAUAAGUUUAGAUAAAGUGUGUUUCUUGUAGAUGAACAGGUUGUUUGUUUUGAUGAAAUAUUAAAAUAGAGUUCAAUGUCCAUCCGUACAUUUGGUCUUAAACGUUGAUUUAACUCUUUGGCUCCGCAACAACGCACAGUACGUUGAUUUUAAAAAAGGGAAAAAAAGUCAGACCAACGCUGGGGGCAUCAGCUAUUUCAAAUUUAUUUUUUCGUUUCCAUUUCUCC
rnacentral:sRNA from 1 species